rnacentral:rRNA from 1 species
UGAGGAACAUGACCUUCGGCGGGGAUAGCCGGCCCAACGGCCGGGUAAUACCGCGUACGACCACAUGGGGACAUCCCCGAGUGGUGAAAGCAGCAAUGCGCCGAUGGAGUGCCUCGCGGCCUAUCAGCUAGUUGGUGAGGUAACGGCUCACCAAGGCGACGACGGGUAGCCGGCUGAGAGUGUGGACCGGCCACACUGGGACUGACGCGCGCCAGCUCGUACGGGAG